GGUUCGAUCAUGGCUCAGAUUGAACGCUGGCGGGAUGCUUUACACAUGCAAGUCGGAACGGCAGCACGGACUUCGGUCUGGUGGCGAGUGGCGAACGGGUGGGUAAUGUAUCGGAACGUGCCCUAGUAGCGGGGGAUAACUACGCGAAAGCGUAGCUAAUACCACAUACGCCCUUCGAGGAAAGCAGGGGACCUUUGGGCCUCGCACUGAUAGAGCGGCCGAUAUCGGAUUAGCUAGUUGGUGGGGUAACGGCUUGUCGCAAGGCGACGAUCCGUAGCUGGUUUGAGAGGACGACCAGCCACACUGGGACUGAGACACGGCAGACUCCUACGGGAGGCAGCAGUGGGGAAUUUUGGACAAUGGGGGAAACCUGAUCCAGCCAUCCCGCGUGUGCGAUGAAGGCCUUCGGGUUGUAAAAGCACUUUGGCAGGAAAGAAACGGCACGGGAUAAUGCCCCGUGCAACUGACUGUACCUGCAGAAUAAGCACCGGCUAACUACGUGCCAGCAGCCGCGGUAAUACGUAGGGUGCAAGCGUUAAUCGGAAUUACUGGGCGUAAAGCGUGCGCAGGCGGUUCGGAAGAAGAUGUGAAAUCCCCAGAGCUUAACUUUGGAACUGCAUUUUUAACUACCGAGCUAGAGUGUGUCAGAGGAGGUGGAAUUCCGCGUGUAGCAGUGAAAUGCGUAGAUAUGCGGAGGAACACCGAUGGCGAAGGCAGCCUCCUGGGAUAACACUGACGCUCAUGCACGAAAAGCGUGGGGAGCAAACAGGAUUAGAUACCCUGGUAGUCCACGCCUAAACGAUGUCAACUAGCUGUUGGGGCCUUCGGGCCUUGGUAGCGCAGCUAACGCGUGAAGUUGACCGCCGCACAAGGAGUACGGUCGCAAGAUUAAAACUCAAAGGAAUUGACGGGGACCCGCACAAGCCGGUGGAUGAUGUAGUUAAUUCGAUGCAACGCGAAAAACCUUACCUACCCUUGACAUGUCUGGAAUCCCGAAGAGAUUUGGGAGUGCUCGCAAGAGAACCGGAACACAGGUGCUGCAUGGCUGUCGUCAGCUCGUGUCGUGAGAUGUUGGGUUAAGUCCGCAACGAGCGCAACCCUUGUCAUUGAGAUUUGCUACGAAAGGGCACUCUAAUGAGACUGCCGGUGACAAACCGGAGGAAGGUGGGGAUGACGUCAAGUCCUCAUGGCCCUUAUGGGUAGGGGCUUCACGUCAUACAAUGGUCGGGACAGAGGGUCGCCAACCCGCGAGGGGAGCCAAUCCGGCCCGAUCGUGGUCCCGGAUCGCAGUCUGUGACUGCGUGAAGUCGGAAUCGCUAGUAAUCGCGGAUCAGCAUGUCGCGGUGAAUACGUUCCCGGGUCUUGUACACACACCGCCCGUCACACCAUGGAGUGGGUUUUACCAGAAGUAGUUAGCCUAACCGUAGAGGAGGGCGAUUACCACGGUAGGAUUCAUGACUGGGGUGAAGUCGUAACAAGGUAA
rnacentral:rRNA from 1 species